rnacentral:rRNA from 1 species
AGAAAUGACUCUCGGCAAUGGAUAUCUCGGCUCUUGCAUCGAUGAAGAACGUAGCGAAAUGCGAUACUUGGUGUGAAUUGCAGAAUCCCGUGAACCAUCGAGUCUUUGAACGCAAGUUGCGCCCGAAGCCAUUAGGCCGAGGGCAUGCCUGCCUGGGUGUCACAC